UACGUAGGGUGCGAGCGUUAAUCGGAAUUACUGGGCGUAAAGCGUGCGCAGGCGGUUUUACAAGCCAGAUGUGAAAUCCCCGGGCUUAACCUGGGAACUGCAUUUGGGACUGUAAGGCUAGAGUGUGUCAGAGGGAGGUGGAAUUCCACGUGUAGCAGUGAAAUGCGUAGAUAUGUGGAGGAACAUCGAUGGCGAAGGCAGCCUCCUGGGAUAACACUGACGCUCAUGCACGAAAGCGUGGGGAGCAAACAGG
rnacentral:rRNA from 1 species